rfam:Triticum aestivum genome assembly, contig: Triticum_aestivum_CS42_TGACv1_scaffold_129322_2BL
UUAAUACUCCCUCCGUCCGGAAAUACUUGUCAUUGAAAUGGAUGUAUCUAGAUAUAUUUUAGUUCUAGAUACAUCCAUUUUGUUGACGAGUAAUUCUGGACGGAGGGAGUAUGUG